AAAGGAUCUUUUUCGACGAAAACUGCGGCAAACCGCCUUCGGCAGUUUGCCAGCGCGUAGAUCUCGAAAAGUUAUUCGAAAUCAAAAAAAAAAUCGUCUCAAUCGGACAACCGAGCCAAAAGUUAUGGCCUUUCAAAGUUUUCCAAGCUAAAAAACAUAAAUUGAUUAUGAAUUAAUUAUUCAAAACUCACCGUUUCAAUUGAUUUCACCACGCACCGUUUCAAUUGUGAAAUUCACAGAUCCCGCCUCUAAUCCUCCCAAAAUUUGACAUCCCUCCAACUCUACACAACGAUUCAAAUCAAAAUGUUUUCCUUUCUCUUUUAUUUUUCAUUCCUUUCUGUUUGUCAAUUUCCAUUGUGUUAUUUGUGUUAUUUCAUUCCUUUAAACUGUUUCUGUAUGAAAUUCUCUUAAGAUUCAUAAGUGUUUCAUUCUCUACGAUAGCUAUAGGAUCCGUCUGCCCAAUUUGCACUGCAAUUAGUCCUUUGGUCAGUACCUGUUAUAUUCGGAGGAGCCGCAUGGUGACUGUGGCGGCCGAUGAACGGUGGUUAGUUGAAUUCCUGGUUUACCUACUUUUUCCGUGGUGCUGUGCUCUUUUCUCUCCAUCACGUUUGCUGUAGGUUAUGGUGUUUUACUGAUGUUUCAUGGCCCAUGACGAAAAGGAUUAUUGCCUACAACACGUGAUAACGUUACCCCUGACAAACAAUGUUCUAGAUGCCAUGUCUGACAUUUUGUGCAGCUGUGCGUUUGCUUUACACGGAUUGAAUGAAUGCUAUGCACUGCCAUUAAAUACAUGCAUGUGUAAGUCUUUCACAUCGUAAUUGUCCUCAUCGUAAUUUAUGUUACUUAAUUAGGAUGUCCUGUUGUCAGAUAGGUGUUAGCUAUUCACAAACUUGUCAAAGGGAAUAAGAAGCUUUUCAAUACAAGUCAAAGGAAAUAUAUCCUCUCAACCUUGUCCGUGCUCCAUAGGUUUAGCUCCAUAAAUAGAGCCUAAUAGUCAGGUUGAUAAAAGUGUGAUUUAACCAUCAGUAAGCUACCUAUAUAUGUUUACAAAAUAUAUUUAACCAAAUAUGUGCGGAUUCUUCGAUACUAGGAUCUGCAUCUGUAUUAGGUGCUAAAGAAUCAGGAAAAUGUGUGGAAAGAUGUGUUAUAUGCCCAAUACACUAUAUCUAACUCAAAAACAGCAGCCUAUGAAUGAAUUUGUUAACAGCAUGUUUUGCGUAUAUUUAAUUCCUCAUUUUCUUAU